AGUGAACGCUGGCGGUAGGCCUAACACAUGCAAGUCGAACGGCAGCACAGGAGAGCUUGCUCUCUGGGUGGCGAGUGGCGGACGGGUGAGGAAUACAUCGGAAUCUACUCUGUCGUGGGGGAUAACGUAGGGAAACUUACGCUAAUACCGCAUACGACCUACGGGUGAAAGCAGGGGAUCUUCGGACCUUGCGCGAUUGAAUGAGCCGAUGUCGGAUUAGCUAGUUGGCGGGGUAAAGGCCCACCAAGGCGACGAUCCGUAGCUGGUCUGAGAGGAUGAUCAGCCACACUGGAAAUGGGACACGGUCCAGACUCCUACGGGAGGCAGCAGUGGGGAAUAUUGGACAAUGGGCGCAAGCCUGAUCCAGCCAUACCGCGUGGGUGAAGAAGGCCUUCGGGUUGUAAAGCCCUUUUGUUGGGAAAGAAAUCCAGCUGGCUAAUACCCGGUUGGGAUGACGGUACCCAAAGAAUAAGCACCGGCUAACUUCGUGCCAGCAGCCGCCGCCG
rnacentral:rRNA from 1 species